ensembl:lncRNA LINC00511 long intergenic non-protein coding RNA 511
GGGUCUCAUGGAGGAGAGAAGGCAGGGACAGAGAAGAGUCUGCCCGAAGCAAAUGCCAAUCCUUGCAGAGUGCCGAGCGAGCUGGGAGCAGCGGUAUUUUUCCCUCUCCACCCUGGUCUUCUCCUGUAACGUGUGGCCGCCUUUUCCAGCACGGCCUCCUGCCUUCCUGGUGCACUUUUUGGAGAACGUGGUGGAAUCAGAGGUUUCUGGCUGACUCGGUGGGUGCUUUGAACCAGGAAAGGACAAGAAAGAGGAUGGGAAGGACUGAUCCACAUUCCCACCAGGAAGUUUAGCAGAACCCCCGCGUGCCACCUGGACCCCUUGGAAGGACCUGGCUCAGGCUGGACCACCUCUUGAGAGGCAGGAGCUCUGGAUUUGAUCAAGAAUUCUUUGCUGAGCAUGGUGCCUCAUGCCUAUAAUCCCAACACUUUGGGAGGCCAGUGUGGGAGGAUCUCUUGAGCCCAGGAGUUCAAGACUAGCCUGGGCAACACAGAGAGACCCCAUCUCUAAAAUAAUAAUAAUAAUAAAAUAAAAAAUUAGCAGGGCAUGGUGGCAUGUGCCUGUAGUCCCAGCUACCCAGGAGGCUGAGGCAAGAGGAUGGCUGGAGCCUGGGAUGUUGAGGCUGCAAUGAACUGUGAUUACCCCACUGCACUCCAGCCUGGGCAAAAGAGCGAGAGACCCUGUCUCAAAUAAUAAUAAUAAUAAUAAUCUUAUUUUGGAGAAUAAAGAGACCUCUGGAUUUGAGGUGCCAUUUGGGUAGAAAGAAAAGACGUUUACACCGAGAAAUAGUCUGUGUUGCCCUGAAGGAGCAGAGGGAUGCAUCGCUGGAGGUGACCUACAGUUGAAGAAGACUCAUUAUGACAGACCUUGUCCUUCUUCCUUGUGGAAAGUGUUUCCUCUGCUGCUACUGCUCAUGAGACUCUUCCCCCUCCCUGUCCCAGGGAACCAAAGGGCUUUCUACCACACCCUUUCUUGCCCCCCGCCUCCCAUGUCUGCUGUGCCUUUGUACUCAGCAAUUCUUGUUUGCUCCAUUAUCUUCCAGCCGGAUACAGAGUGAAUAGUUAACCACACUUAGGUCAAAUAGGAUCUAAAUUUUUGUUCCUGCUCCGUGUAAAGAGGCCAGUGUUUGUGUGUUGCAAGCAGCCUUGGAAUAGUAACUCUUCUCAUUUGUUUGGGAUCUGGCCACCAAGUUCCAGAAUGAUACACGGAUCAGUGCAGAAGUUCAUCAGGCUCUCGGACCUUAGGGCUGUUGGAGAAGGCUUCAGCAGCAGAACUGAUGGUGAAGGCUCGUGUUCUCCAUCCUCAACUUUCUUUGCUUCGAUCAUACACAAGAAUACAUUUGGAAGGGCAAAAAAUGAACACUGUCGUUCAUUGCAGCCGUGUUUUGUGACACAGAUGCACAGUCUGCUGUGAAGACCUUCUCUCAAGUGGCAUUUGGGAGUCCAUGCCAGAUCAUGGUGCUUCAUGAGAGACUGACAGCUAUCAGGGGUUGUGGCACUUAGUGAGGACUCUCCUCCCCCAGUGUGUGCUGAUGACACAUACACACCUGACAAUAGCUUGAGUCUUCUCUGUUCCUUUUACUCUGUAGCCAACAUACACAUGAUUUAAAACCCUUUCUAAAUAUCUAUCAUGGUUCAUCCUUGUCCAAAUGCAGAGUCAGAGCUAUUUGUACUUCAUUAUUAUUUCCAAGGCGAAUAGUUGGCUUUCUUUUUGCAAAAAUAAUUAAAGUUUUUGUAUGUUGC